rfam:Cryptococcus gattii R265 mitochondrial scaffold supercont2.28, whole genome shotgun sequence.
GGGGAUGUAAAUCUAAUUGGUAAGAUAUCAAACUGUAAAUUUGCCGGGUUACGCCCACUGGGAGUUCAAGUCUCUCCGUCCCCA